GAUGAACGCUAGCUACAGGCUUAACACAUGCAAGUCGAGGGGCAUCAUGGUCAAAGCUUGCUUUGACUGAUGGCGACCGGCGCACGGGUGAGUAACGCGUAUCCAACCUUCCCUAUACUAAGGAACAGCCCGGCGAAAGUCGGAUUAAUGCCUUAUGUUCUCCUUGGAUGGCAUCUGAUGAGGAGCAAAGAUUCAUCGGUAUAGGAUGGGGAUGCGUCUGAUUAGGCAGUAGGCGGGGUAACGGCCCACCUAGCCGACGAUCAGUAGGGGUUCUGAGAGGAAGGUCCCCCACAUUGGUACUGAGACACGGACCAAACUCC
rnacentral:rRNA from 1 species